UACAGAGGGUGCAAGCGUUAUCCGGAAUUACUGGGUUUAAAGGGUACGUAGGCGGUUAAUUAAGUCAGCAGUGAAAGCCUGUCGCUCAACGACGGAUGUGCUGUUGAUACUGGUUAACUUGAAAUGGGUUAGGGUUGGCGGAAUGGGUCAUGUAGCGGUGAAAUGCUUAGAUAUGACUUGGAACACCGAAAGCGAAGGCAGCUGACCGAACCUUGUUUGACGCUGAGGUACGAAAGUGUGGGUAGCGAACAGG
rnacentral:rRNA from 1 species